AGAUUAGAGUUUGAUCAUGGCUCAGAUUGAACGCUGGCGGCAGGCUUAACACAUGCAAGUCGAGCGGGGGAGAUUGCUUCGGUAAUUGACCUAGCGGCGGACGGGUGAGUAAUACUUAGGAAUCUGCCUAUUAAUGGGGGACAACAUCUCGAAAGGGAUGCUAAUACCGCAUACGCCCUACGGGGGAAAGCAGGGGAUCACUUGUGACCUUGCGUUAAUAGAUGAGCCUAAGUCGGAUUAGCUAGUUGGUGGGGUAAAGGCCUACCAAGGCGACGAUCUGUAGCGGGUCUGAGAGGAUGAUCCGCCACACUGGGACUGAGACACGGCCCAGACUCCUACGGGAGGCAGCAGUGGGGAAUAUUGGACAAUGGGGGGAACCCUGAUCCAGCCAUGCCGCGUGUGUGAAGAAGGCCUUAUGGUUGUAAAGCACUUUAAGCGAGGAGGAGGCUCUCUUGGUUAAUACCCAAGAUGAGUGGACGUUACUCGCAGAAUAAGCACCGGCUAACUCUGUGCCAGCAGCCGCGGUAAUACAGAGGGUGCGAGCGUUAAUCGGAUUUACUGGGCGUAAAGCGUGCGUAGGCGGCUUUUUAAGUCGGAUGUGAAAUCCCCGAGCUUAACUUGGGAAUUGCAUUCGAUACUGGGAAGCUAGAGUAUGGGAGAGGAUGGUAGAAUUCCAGGUGUAGCGGUGAAAUGCGUAGAGAUCUGGAGGAAUACCGAUGGCGAAGGCAGCCAUCUGGCCUAAUACUGACGCUGAGGUACGAAAGCAUGGGGAGCAAACAGGAUUAGAUACCCUGGUAGUCCAUGCCGUAAACGAUGUCUACUAGUCGUUGGGGCCUUUGAGGCUUUAGUGGCGCAGCUAACGCGAUAAGUAGACCGCCUGGGGAGUACGGUCGCAAGACUAAAACUCAAAUGAAUUGACGGGGGCCCGCACAAGCGGUGGAGCAUGUGGUUUAAUUCGAUGCAACGCGAAAAACUUACCUGGUCUUGACAUAGUAAGAACUUUCCAGAGAUGGAAUGGUGCCUUCGGGAACUUACAUACAGGGGCUGCAAGGCUGUCUCCAGCUCGUGUCGUAGGAUGUUGGGUAAAGUUCCCGCAACGAGUCGCACCUUUCCCUAUUUUGUCCAGGCACUUCUGGUGUGGAACUUUAAGGGUACUGGCCUGUGGUACAACUUGAAGUAGGGCGGGACACACUCCAGUCUCAUCUGGUCUUACUAAAACCAAGGGCUGACCACCCAUGG
rnacentral:rRNA from 1 species